rnacentral:rRNA from 1 species
AGAGUUUGAUCCUGGCUCAGAAUGAACGUUGGCGGCGUGGAUUAGGCAUGCAAGUCGAACGCGAAAGCUUCCUUCGGGGAGCAAGUAGCGUGGCGUAAGGGGCAGUAAUGCAUGGGUAACCUACCCCCCGGUCUGGGAUAUACGGCGGAAACGCCGGGUAAUACUGGACGUCGUCUCCGAGCGGCAUCGCCUGGAGAUGAAAGAUUUAUCGCCGGGGGAGGGGCCCAUGUCCUAUCAGCUUGUUGGUGAGGUAACGGCUCACCAAGGCAGCAACGGGUAGGGGGUGUGAGAGCAUGGCCCCCGUCACUGGGACUGAGACACUGCCCAGACUCCUACGGGAGGCUGCAGUCGAGAAUCUUCGGCAAUGGGCGAAAGCCUGACCGAGCGACGCCGCGUGGGGGAAGAAGGCCUUCGGGUUGUAAACUCCUGUUGGGGGGAAGGAAAUCAUGACCGAACCCCUGAGGAAGCACGGGCUAAGUUCGUGCCAGCAGCCGCGGUAAGACGAACCGUGCGAACGUUAUUCGGAAUCACUGGGCUUAAAGAGCGCGUAGGCGGCAUCGUAAGUUGGAGGUGAAAUCCCAUCGGCUCAACCGUGGAACUGCCCCCAAUACUGCGGUGCUCGAGGGAGAUAGGGGCAUGUGGAACUUCC